rnacentral:lncRNA from 1 species
AUCUACCUUAAAUUAUAAAAUUAUUAGUAAAUAGAAAGUAUAAGAAAUAGAAAUACACAAUAUAAAGAAAAAUAAAUAAUAAGUAAAUAUAUAUUAUAAGAAAAUACCCAAUUUAAAAAAUGGAAAAUUACAUUAAGAUUUAAAAAUAUAUCUUAAAAUUUAAAAUAUAGAUAUUACGUAAAUAGAAAGUAUAACAAAUGGAAAUAUACAAUUUAAAAAAAAAAGAGAAAAUGUACAUUAAGAUUUAAACAUCUAUAUUAAAAUAUAAAAUAGAGAUAUUAAGUAAAUAAAAAGUACAAGAAAUGGAAAUACAUAUACAGGAAAAUAAAUAAUAAGUAAAUAAUAUAAAUAUAUAAUAUAUGAAUUAUAUAUAUAAUAAUAAGUAAAUACACAUUUUUUAAAAAAAAUGGAAAAAGUUCAUUAAGCAUUAAACAUCUAUCUUAAAAUAUAAAAUAUAUGAUAAAAGUAAAUACACAAUUUAAAAAAAAAUGGAAAAAGUACAUUAAGAUUUAAAUAUCUAUUUUAAAAUAUAAAAUAUAGAUAUUACGUAAAUAAAAAAUAUAAGAAGUGGAAAUAAACAUUUUAAAAAAUGGAAAAAGUACAUUAAGAUUUAAACAUCGAUCUUAAAAUGUACAUCUAUCUUAAAAUGGUAGUAAAUUAUAUAAAAAUGGAAAUACCACAUUUAACAAAAAAAAAAUAAAAAUGUAUAGUUUUACAUCAAGAAAGUCCCUAUAAAACUCAUUAUUCCAUCAACAUCAACCUCACACUAUCAAGAAAAACUUCAAAGCACUCGAGCAAAAAAAUGGUUCCACCAUCAACUCUUGCCGUCCCAAAAACCUUUAAUGACCUUGAAAGAGAUUUUUUAUAACAACGAACUUUUUGUUAGGUGGAUUCAUUGUUGGGAAACCCGCAACUUUCAAAAACCAAACUUAUUCAUGGGAAUUGAAUUGCUUUUCAUAGACUCAAAGGUAUUCUUACAAAUUUAAUAUUCGUACUAACUCUUUCAUGAUCAAACCAUUACAGUUAAUAAUCAUUCAAACGUUUAUCCCGAAACACUUCC